rnacentral:rRNA from 1 species
GACGAACGCUGGCGGCGUGCCUAACACAUGCAAGUCGAGCGGAGAAUGCAAGAUGUUUACAUUGAGCAUUCUUAGCGGCGGACGGGUGAGUAACACGUGGGUAACCUGCCUCAGAGUGGGGGAUAGCCUUUCGAAAGGAAGAUUAAUACCGCAUAAGCUUGUAGCAUCGCAUGGUGCAGCAAGAAAAGGAGCAAUCCGCUCUGAGAUGGACCCGCGGCGCAUUAGCUAGUUGGUGAGGUAACGGCUCACCAAGGCCACGAUGCGUAGCCGACCUGAGAGGGUGAUCGGCCACAUUGGAACUGAGACACGGUCCAGACUCCUACGGGAGGCAGCAGUGGGGAAUAUUGCACAAUGGGCGAAAGCCUGAUGCAGCAACGCCGCGUGAGUGAUGAAGGCUUUCGAGUCGUAAAGCUCUUUGAUCAGGGAUGAUAAUGACAGUA